rnacentral:rRNA from 1 species
GAUGAACGCUAGCGGCAGGCUUAAUACAUGCAAGUCGAGGGGCAACAGGGGUAGCAAUACCUGCUGGCGACCGGCAAACGGGUGCGGAACACGUACAGAACCUUCCUUUAAGCGGGGGAUAGCCCAUAGAAAUGUGGAUUAAUACCCCAUAGUAAUGCUGGCUGGCAUCAACUGGUAUUUAAAGAUUUAUCACUUAAAGAUGGCUGUGCGGCUGAUUAGGUAGUUGGUGGGGUAACGGCCCACCAAGCCAGCGAUCAGUAACUGGUGUGAGAGCACGACCAGUCACACGGGCACUGAGACACGGGCCCGACUCCUACGGGAGCAGCAGUAAGGAAUAUUGGUCAAUGGACGCAAGUCUGAACCAGCCAUGCCGCGUGAAGGAUGAAGGCCCUCUGGGUUGUAAACUUCUUUUAUCUGGGAAGAAACCACUUCUUUAUAGAGGUGUUGACGGUA